GAUGAACGCUGGCGGCGUGCCUAAUACAUGCAAGUCGAGCGGCAGCGCGGUCUUCGGACUGGCGGCGAGCGGCGGACGGCUGAGUAACACGUAGGAACGUACCCCAAACUGAGGGAUAAGCACCAGAAAUGGUGUCUAAUACCGCAUGUGCUCUUCGGAGCAAAGCUUCGGCGGUUUGGGAACGGCCUGCGCCCGAUUAGCUAGUUGGUGAGGUAAUGGCUCACCAAGGCGACGAUCGGUAGCUGGUCUGAGAGGAUGACCAGCCAGACU
rnacentral:rRNA from 1 species